UACGUAGGAUGCGAGCGUUAAUCGGAAUUACUGGGCGUAAAGCGUGCGCAGGCGGUUAUGCAAGACAGAUGUGAAAUCCCCGGGCUCAACCUGGGAACUGCAUUUGUGACUGCAUGGCUGGAGUGCGGCAGAGGGGGAUGGAAUUCCGCGUGUAGCAGUGAAAUGCGUAGAUAUGCGGAGGAACACCGAUGGCGAAGGCAAUCCCCUGGGCCUGCACUGACGCUCAUGCACGAAAGCGUGGGGAGCAAACAGG
rnacentral:rRNA from 1 species